UACGUAGGGUCCGAGCGUUGUCCGGAAUUACUGGGCGUAAAGAGCUCGUAGGUGGUUUGUCGCGUUGUUCGUGAAAACUCACAGCUCAACUGUGGGCGUGCGGGCGAUACGGGCAGACUAGAGUACUGCAGGGGAGACUGGAAUUCCUGGUGUAGCGGUGGAAUGCGCAGAUAUCAGGAGGAACACCGGUGGCGAAGGCAGAUCUCUGGGCCGUAACUGACGCUGAGGAGCGAAAGCAUGGGGAGCGAACAGG
rnacentral:rRNA from 1 species